UCGUGAGCCUCAACCUCUUCGCCUCAUUGAUGUUGUUUAAUGUUCCUGGAUCCGUCUUACGUUCCUGCUUCCAUCCUACGUUCCUGGAUCCGGAGCCUCGUUGUUCUUACCUUUCGUGAGCCUCAACCUCUUCGCCUCAUUGAUGUUGUUUAAUGUUCCUGGAUCCGUCUUACGUUCCUGCUUCCAUCCUACGUUCCUGGAUCCGGAGUCAAAUCCUCAGCCGGGCAGAAACAGAGAACUUUGGAAACGAAUGCAGACACCCACGUCAGUCAGUCUUAUCGGUUAGGUAAGCUUGCAUGCCUUUCAGUAGCAGUUCCACCUCAUGGUUGGUCCAA